GCCCCCAUCGUCUAGUGGCCAGGAUACAUGGUUCUCAUCCAUGCGACAGGGGUUCGACUCCCCUUGGGGGUA
rnacentral:tRNA from 1 species